UUGAAUUUUGAAGCGGGGUUCUUGAGCUGGCACUGCAGGGGCUCAGAGCCUCCAUUCAUUCCAAUUCAACCCCUGGGCACUUUUGAGAACCGAUAAGUUGGGUACGGAGCACGGUUCAUUUCCUUUUUUGGGUUGAACUUAGUGAAGUGUCCGCUUUCGUGUUUCUUAUUACAAACUCUAUAUAUUGUUUUGUAGAAUGUAUCGCCUUUGAUUAGGCAAAGUCUAAAUACAACUUUCAACAACGGAUCUCUUGGCUCUCGCAUCGAUGAAGAACGCAGCGAAAUGCGAUAAGUAAUGUGAAUUGCAGAAUUCAGUGAAUCAUCGAAUCUUUGAACGCACCUUGCGCUCCUUGGUAUUCCGAGGAGCAUGCCUGUUUGAGUGUCAUUAUAUUCUCAACUCUCUUGAUUUUUUUGAAUCGCUUGAGUUGGAUUUGGAGGUUUUUAUGCUGGCCCUCACGGAUCGGCUCCUCUUAAAUGCAUUAGCUGAGCUUUUACUUGAUGCAAUGGUGUAAUAAUUAUCUUCACCGAUGUAACUAGUGAAAUAGGCUUGCUUCUAAUCGUCUCUUAAUCGAGACACUAUAAGAAAAAGGGCAACCUUUUCUUUGACUCUCUUGACCU
rnacentral:rRNA from 1 species